CCCAAUUCCCAUUUCCCCCCCCCAGUCCCGUUUCUCCCCCUAAUCCCGCUCCCGCCGUUCCCAGGGAGCCCGUUCCAGGUGCCGGUGUCGGACGUGGUGGACGCUUCCCGCGUGUCCUGCGGGGGGCCGGGCCUGACCCCCGGCCACGUCCGGGCCAACGUCCCCCAGAGCUUCACCGUGGACACCUCCAAGGCCGGCGUGGCCCCGCUGGACGUCAAAGUCCAGGGUCCCAAGGGUCAGCAGGGGGGGAUUUCCUGCGAUUUGGGGGAUCUGGGUGGGCUUUGGAGAGGGUUUGGAGGUUUUUAAUGGGAUUUUAAGGGGUUCUGGAGAGGUUUUGGGGCGCUCAAUAGCAGCUCUUGGGACAUCCUGUGGGAUUUUGGGGCUUCUCUGUGGGAUUUCAGAGCAUCCUGUGGGAUUUUGGGACUUCUCUGUGGGAUUCUGGAACAUCCAGUGGGAUUUUGAGGCAUUUUGAGACGCCCAGUGGGAUUUCAGAGCAUCCUAUGGGGUUUUGGGGCUGCUCAGUGGGAUUUCAGAGCAUCCUGUGGGAUUUUGGGGCUUCUCUGUGGGAUUCUGGAGCACCCUGUGGGAUUUUGGGGCUGCCCUGUAGGAUUUUGGGGCACUUUAUGGGAUUUUGAUGCACUUUAUGGGAUUUUGGGGCACUUUAUGGGAUUUUGAUGCACUUCAUGGGAUUUUGUGGCACUUUAUGGGAUUUUGUGGCACUUUAUGGGAUUUUGUGGCACUUUAUGGGAUUUUGGUGCACUUUAUGGGAUUUUGUGGCACUUUAUGGGAUUUUGGAGCCACCCCACACCAACAUUUCAACACUUCCCCUCAUCCUACACCACCUUUCCACCACUUCAACCCACCCCCACCAUUCCAACCUUCCCCAACCUCUUGAAACCCCCCCAAAAAACCCCCAAAAAACCCCAAUCCCCCUUUUCCAGGCGUGCUGGAGCCCGUGGACAUCGCCGACAACGGCGACGGCACUCAGCGCGUGUCCUACGUGCCGUCCCGCGAGGGUCCCUACAGCAUCUCCGUGCGCUACGGCGACCACGAGGUGCCCCGGAGCCCUUUCAAGGUGAAGGCGCUGCCCACGCACGACGCCAGCAAGGUGCGGGCGAGCGGCCCCGGGCUCAACA
rnacentral:lncRNA from 1 species